UACAGAGGUCUCAAGCGUUGUUCGGAUUCAUUGGGCGUAAAGGGUGCGUAGGUGGCGCCGUAAGUCAGGUGUGAAAUUUCGGAGCUUAACUCCGAAACUGCAUUUGAUACUGCGGUGCUUGAGGACUGGAGAGGAGACUGGAAUUUACGGUGUAGCAGUGAAAUGCGUAGAGAUCGUAAGGAAGACCAGUGGCGAAGGCGGGUCUCGUGGACAGUUCCUGACACUGAGGCACGAAGGCCAGGGAGCAAACGGG
rnacentral:rRNA from 1 species